CCGCCCAUUUCAUUCUGGGUGUGUAUUUUUUUUGUAAUGAUACUUUCGGUUUUGUUUUUACUCAUAUCUCGCUAAACCUGCCGUGGUUUACUAAAUUUAAACAUCCAGAAUGUAAAACUCCCGCAGAACGUUUACAAUGUUUAACCGGUUUGAUCUUCUGCUGCUGUUUUGCAUCGUUUAUCACAGCGGAAACACAUCUAAACCUGUGUCAAGAAAAAAGGGAGGAAACGUCACACUCACAUGUGAACAUGAGGCCAAUAAUAUUGUUCAGAUUGAGUUAAUCAGUCGGUCAGAAGUCAUAGAUGUGUGUCAGACUGAAGAAUGUAGUGGACGAGUGUUUAAAGAAGGAAACUGUGACGUCGUCAUCAAGAAUCUGAGCUUCAGUGACGCUGGGAAAUACUUUUUGAUUAUCUAUUACAAUAAUAAUCAGACAGAGCUGACGUACCAACUUCAUAUUCAUGAUGAGAUUUCUGUGAAAACAGGCGAGGAGCUAAAGAUGUCUGUUCUGUUGUCUAAUGCUGAUAAAGUGGAGACAAACUCUAGUGGAGAGUGGAAGGAGGUUUGGACGAGAGGUCACGGGGUUCAGAGCGAUCGAAUGAAUGAUAAUAAUGAUGGAAACCUGACCAUUAAAUCAUUUAAAGCCACAUAUGCAGGAACAUACAGAGUUCUGGACACUAAAGGAGAAAUCUUGAUCACAGUCACAAUCACAGAAUCAGGUACAAAAUCACCGGGAAAACUGGACGACACUGAUAAAGACAAAACGAAUGACACUGAACAACACAUGAACUGGAUUGUGUCAGUUGUAGUGUGUUUGGUGAUUCUGGCUGUGAUUGUGAUUUCUGUCAUCAUAUGGAGACGUCAGCACAGAGAUCACACACAGGUUCCAGCAGAGGAGAAUACAGAGCACACACAGGAACUGGAGAAACUAUAAUGAUCUUCACUGAACGUGACUCAACUGAACACCUGAGAACCACUGGUUACUUGUGAUUUGCCUUCAGUGCCAAGACGAUUCUGUCAACAUAUAAUGGCAGCUGGGGGAGUGAUAUGUAUAGUUAAAAAAAUUAUAGUUGUUGUUUUAAUGAUGUGCGCAGUAGCGGUUUUUGGCACGGGCGAACCGGGCAGGCGCCCGGGGCGGCCUGUUUUUCAUGAUACAUGGGGGCGGCACGAGCAGUUAAAAAAAUUAAUAAUAAUCCUCUGCGCCGCCGCCACGAAGCGGUUUUCUAUUAUCUAUCAUUUCACUGUGUGGGGAAUUGGCAAAUUGGCGCCCCUGCUUGCUGAGAAGGUGCCGUGCACAGAAGCUGUGUGAGAACGGGAAAGGGGAGUGGGACAGUUUCACCAUAAUAUUGUGCUUUGCAACAAAACUGUUACAAGUUCAGUUAUUAUUUAUUUCCAUCAGUUGGGUUAACGUUAGGCCCUGUAAUUAGCCAACGGAAUUUUCAAAUCUGUGUAAUUAUAAUUUAAAUCGGACUACUUUUUAAAUUGUAUUUCAUAAACCAACAUCUCAGACGUUAUGUCAAAAUGUUAUGGGGUUUCAAAUCAAACAAAUGACUUUCUGUUACAGAACAGGGCAUUGAUUUCAUACAUGUCCACUGUAGAGGACAUCAGGACUUAAAUCAUGUGUAUCAGGCAUUUUGGGAAACACAACAAGUGAAUAUGGAAAUAAAUUAUACAUCAAUAUUCCUAUGAAAUAUUAGAUAUUAUUAUUAAAAUGUUGCCAAUUAUUACUCCAGUUAUUACACUUCUUUUUUCAUUAAAUGUUGCUCCAAGAACACAUUAAUAUGCAAAUUAGAUACAGUGUAUAGGUACAUUGCAUUGAAUGGGAAUAUUAAUUUAUGGCCAUUUUACCACAUAUUGCAUAAAGUAAAAUGGUGUAUCGAUUCAUUCCAUUAUAUCUUUCAUAACAUAGUUGAGAAUCAUCUUUAUACAAAUUUUGGUUUAAAAAAAAAUCCUGAAACCCCAAAAGUCCCAUUGUUUUUGCCUAUACAUAUAAUUUAAUGUCAUUUUAUUUUUUAAACAACUGAGUCCUAGUGUCCACAACAAAGGACAUACCAUAACAUAUGAAUAAAAUAUCAUUUUUCAAAAAUGGUUUUUUACCAUUUGUUUCUUAUGCUCUAAACAAUUUGAUGACAUGAAAAAAAUAAUAAAAAAUAAAAAAACUCUGCUCUUGUUACAUUUUUUUAUAUAUCUGAUUGUAUACAUUUUUGGCACAUUUAUGUACAUAUUGUAUAUUUAUUUAAGUUCUGAUAACUUAUACUGUCAUAUUUUGUGCAGAAUUGUGUUCAUUGUCUUUUGGCAAUGUUGGAGGUGGAGAUUGUGCACCUUAAAAAGUGUGUUUCCUGUUGUAAUUGCAAUAACUGGAUUCUCUUAAGUGUGUUUUUCACAUAUUCUAAUGAAGGAUUUGUGCAAUUGAGAAAUAUAAUUUUCUCUUUCACUUAUGUUGUUAUAAUAAAAUAUAAUUAAUUUAUUUUUUUUUUGGUGGGGGGGGGUCGAAGAGGGUCUCGCCCAGGGUGUAAUUCAAUGUAGAACCGCCACUGGAUGUGCGAGCUGACAUUAUUAAGAGAUUCCACAAUUUCACUGUGUGAUGAAGUCUAGUAGAAUGCAGGUAGAAUUACCAGAAAUCAUCAGAGAUAAAGGGGAUCAGCUUCAUGUUGAUUAGCACUGAUCGUUCACUCUAAGUCCAGCAGAACUGAUCCCCACAGUAUAACAGAGCAACUGGAUCUCCUGAUUGUACUGUAAUUUCUAUGUAUUUCUAUGUAUGCUUUGAACACAUCUGUUGAAAUAUGUGUCAAUGCGAGGAAGAGGACACACAAAGUUGAGUCUGUGUUCUGCCAAGUUUCUUUCCAUUUUAAACAUCUUCAGAGUGUUUUCUUGCUUCUGUUGCUUGUUACUAUUCUUUGUGCCAUAGUUCAGUUAGGACAUUUAAGUAAUUUUUAUAAACAUGCCUUAGAAAAAAAAACAUUACUGGUGUGCUUUUUGAGACAAAACAAAGGCACUGAUAUAUUUUAGGCUCAGUUCAGUGCAAGUUUCUUUCAGCUGAAACAGCUCAGACUUACAUUUUAGUCUGGGACUAGUCUAGAUGUUUCAGAUCAGUCACGUGACCCGUGCAGCUCUAACAGCUGAUCUGAGAUCAGAUUCACACCAUCAUGGAGCUGUCCGGGAAACAAGAGUUUCCUUCACAAUAAAAGUAAUGUUCUGUUAAUAACCAGCAGAGGACAAUAAUGACAGAGUCUCCAUAUUUCCAUUUCCGUGAGCUCAUCUGUGUGUGUGACACUUUCGAUCUAAUUUUAUUUGAAUCUCGCUAAACAUGCUGUGGUGUGCA
rnacentral:lncRNA from 12 species